ACGCGAAGAACCUUACCAGGUCUUGACAUCCCCUGACAACCCGAGAGAUCGGGCGUUCCCCCUUCGGGGGGACAGGGUGACAGGUGGUGCAUGGUUGUCGUCAGCUCGUGUCGUGAGAUGUUGGGUUAAGUCCCGCAACGAGCGCAACCCUCGACCUUAGUUGCCAGCAUUCAGUUGGGCACUCUAAGGUGACUGCCGGCUAAAAGUCGGAGGAAGGUGGGGAUGACGUCAAAUCAUCAUGCCCCUUAUGACCUGGGCUACACACGUGCUACAAUGGGCGGUACAAAGGGUCGCGAACCCGCGAGGGGGAGCCAAUCCCAAAAAGCCGCUCUCAGUUCGGAUUGCAGGCUGCAACUCGCCUGCAUGAAGCCGGAAUCGCUAGUAAUCGCGGAUCAGCAUGCCGCGGUGAAUACGUUCCCGGGUCUUGUACACACGC
rnacentral:rRNA from 1 species